CAACUUUCAACAACGGAUCUCUUGGCUCUUGCAUCGAUGAAGAACGCAGCGAAAUGCGAUAAGUAAUGUGAAUUGCAGAAUCCAGUGAAUCAUCGAAUCUUUGAACGCACCUUGCGCCCUUUGGUAUUCCGAGGGGCAUGCCUGUUUGAGAGUCAU
rnacentral:rRNA from 1 species